GGAGGGUAUAGCUCAGUGGUAGAGCGUGUGCUUAGCAUGCAUGAGGUCCUGGGUUCAAUCCCCAGUGCCUCCA
rnacentral:tRNA from 1 species